rnacentral:sRNA from 1 species
UUCAACAAUGUUGCAGGUAUGUAAGC